rnacentral:lncRNA from 1 species
UGGUUAUAUAUCCAUAACCAAAUUUAUAACCAGUUUUAUAACCGGUUUAUAAUAAAAUAUGGUUAUGAUUAUGAAUCCAAAUCCAAUUAAAUGGUUUCGGUUUGGAUAUGGUUUGGUUUGUCAAAUUAUCCGACCAUGCACACCCCUAGUGAUUAUGAAGUUGGAUCCAUGAAAUGUGGGAUAUUUUUUGAGUUUGGUUUGUUUGCUACUAUGUUUGUAGUUAGUAAGUUAGUACUAUUUUGAAUGUUGGUGAUAGAUAAGGGAAAAGAGGAAGGUGACAAGGAGAUGGAUGGAUCCUGGAAAUGGGUGGGUUGUGUGUAUGAGAAGAUGAGAUGAGACAGACAAUGGUGGUUUAAUAAAGUGGAAAUAUAUAUAUCAUUAAUGUGUUGAACACUUAAACCAACCAACGACUAUAUUUUGAGGGAAUAGUUAACUCUUUUUACUUGUCCCG